UCCACUUCCUGCCUGGGGGAGGCACUUCGGGCCCUCGCCGGGAUUUCAGAAACCUGUUCGAGCCAUUCCUUUAUGGCUGAACGUUCUUAUUUAGUAAAUAUUUAUUUAGUUCUCUGAGGAUUCAGAACUAAUCACAGCCACUUCUCUUUAAUAAUAAAUGGUGAACUUCAAGUGCGGCACAAGUCAACCGACUAAUCAGUGCUCGCCUGAAGGUGCAAAACCAACAUGAAAGACCGAACAUUUCCUGUUCCAGCUCGCCGCGGCCGGGAAUAAACUUGAACCAGGUGUGGAGAAAAGCUCGCCAGCGCUGGUUCUCCAACCGCUCUCUGAAACAGCGCAGCGGGCGUUUUCAGUGAUGAGCUUGGAGUGCCCCUCUGUGGAAGAAGAUGAAUGCUACAGUUGCUUCCUUACAGGUGAGUACGUGCUUGCUGCUGCUUGC
rnacentral:lncRNA from 1 species